rnacentral:rRNA from 1 species
GACGAACGCUGGCGGCGUGCCUAAUACAUGCAAGUAGAACGCUGAAGGCCGGAGCUUGCUCUUUCUGGAUGAGUUGCGCACGGGUGAGUAACGCGUAGAUCACCUCCCUGGUAGUGGGGGAUAUCUAUUAGACACGGUAGCUAAUACCGCAUAAAAUUUAUUAUUUCAUGAUGGUCAGUUAAAAGGUGCAACUGCGGCACUACCAGAUGGACCUGCGUUGUAUUAGCUAGUUGGUGGGGUAACGGCGCACCAAGGCGACGAUGCGUAGCCGACCUGAGAGGGUGACAGGCCACAUUGGGACUGAGAUAGGGCCCGGAGGGAUACGGGAGGAAGCAGCGGGGGAUAUUGCAAGAUGGGCGGAAGCAGGAUGCAGCAACGCCGCGUGGGGGAGGACGGUCGUAGGGGUGGAAAGCGCUUGAGCCUGGAAAGAAGAGUGAGUGACGGUAAUGGACAAAGAAGCAACGGCUAACUACGUG